rnacentral:rRNA from 1 species
AGGUAAGCUACUAAGAGCGAAUGGUGGAUGCCUUGACUGGUAAAGGCGAUGAAGGACGUACUAGACUGCGAUAAGCUACGGGGAGCUGUCAAGAAGCUUUGAUCCGUAGAUUUCCGAAUGGGGCAACCCAAUGUAUAGAGAUAUACAUUACCUAUAUAGGAGCGAACGAGGGGAAUUGAAACAUCUUAGUACCCUCAGGAAAAGAAAUCAAUAGAGAUUGCGUCAGUAGCGGCGAGCGAAAGCGCAAGAGGGCAAACCCAGUGCUUGCACUGGGGGUUGUAGGACUGCAAUGUGCAAGAGGUAAGUUUAGCAGAACAUUCUGGAAAGUAUAACCAUAGAGGGUGAUAGUCCCGUAUGCGAAAAACAAACCUUAGCUAGCAGUAUCCUGAGUAGGGCGGGACACGAGGAAUCCUGUCUGAAUCCGGGUCGACCACGAUCCAACCCUAAAUACUAAUACCAGAUCGAUAGUGCACAAGUACCGUGAGGGAAAGGUGAAAAGAACUGAGGUGAUCAGAGUGAAAUAGAACCUGAAACCAUUUGCUUACAAUCAUUCAGAGCCCUAUGUAGCAAUACAGGGUGAUGGACUGCCUUUUGCAUAAUGAGCCUGCGAGUUGUGGUGUCUGGCAAGGUUAAGCAAACGCGAAGCCGUAGCGAAAGCGAGUCUGAAUAGGGCGCUUAGUCAGAUGCUGCAGACCCGAAACGAAGUGAUCUAUCCAUGAGCAAGUUGAAGCUAGUGUAAGAACUAGUGGAGGACUGAACCCAUAGGCGUUGAAAAGCCCCGGGAUGACUUGUGGAUAGGGGUGAAAGGCCAAUCAAACUUCGUGAUAGCUGGUUCUCUCCGAAAUAUAUUUAGGUAUAGCGUUGUGUCGUAAUAUAAGGGGGUAGAGCACUGAAUGGGCUAGGGCAUACACCAAUGUACCAAACCCUAUCAAACUCCGAAUACCUUAUAUGUAAUCACAGCAGUCAGGCGGCGAGUGAUAAAAUCCGUCGUCAAGAGGGAAACAACCCAGACUACCAGCUAAGGUCCCUAAAUCUUACUUAAGUGGAAAACGAUGUGAAGUUACUUAAACAACCAGGAGGUUGGCUUAGAAGCAGCCAUCCUUUAAAGAAAGCGUAAUAGCUCACUGGUCUAGUGAUUUUGCGCGGAAAAUAUAACGGGGCUAAAGUAAGUACUGAAGCUGUAGACUUAGUUUACUAAGUGGUAGGAGAGCGUUCUAUUUGCGUCGAAGGUAUACCGGUAAGGAGUGCUGGAGCGAAUAGAAGUGAGCAUGCAGGCAUGAGUAGCGAUAAUUAAUGUGAGAAUCAUUAACGCCGUAAACCCAAGGUUUCCUACGCGAUGCUCGUCAUCGUAGGGUUAGUCGGGUCCUAAGUCGAGUCCGAAAGGGGUAGACGAUGGCAAAUUGGUUAAUAUUCCAAUACCAACAUUAGUGUGCGAUGGAAGGACGCUUAGGGCUAAGGGGGCUAGCGGAUGGAAGUGCUAGUCUAAGGUCGUAGGAGGUUAUACAGGCAAAUCCGUAUAACAAUACUCCGAGAACUGAAAGGCUUUUUGAAGUCUUCGGAU